rnacentral:rRNA from 1 species
UAGCGGCGAGCGAACAGGGAGGAGCCCAGCACGGAAUCCCGCGCGUGAAACAUAGCGCAGGGAAAUGUCGUGUGUGGGACGCUCCGCAACCCGACGUUCGGCGGCGAGUUCAAGUCUCCCUUGAACGGGGCCACAGCCCGCAGAGGGUGCCAGGCCCGUAGAGACCGUUGCCGUACUCGGGGGGAGCCGUCCUCAGAGUCGUGUUCCUUGAGAGUGGAGCACUAAGUGGGUGGUAAACUCCAUCUAAGGCUAAAUAUGACCACGAGACCGAUAGCGAACAAGUACCGUGAGGGAAAGUUGAAAAGAACUUUGAAGAGAGAGUUCAAUAGUACGUGAAACCGUUCAGGGGUAAACGGGAGGGAUCCGAAAGGUCGAACGGGGAGACUCAAUCCUGUCCGCUCGUUGACGCCCGGUCCGCGUUUCCGGAUGUCGUCGGCCGCCGGCCGCUCCGCAAGGUGCGUGCCGCGUUAGGUCGUCGGUACCGGCCGGUCGGGCCGUUUGACGGCGGCGGGCUGCACUUCUCCCCCGGUAGGACGUCGCGACCCGUUGGACGAGGGGUCUAAGGCCCGGGAUGGAGCCCGCGGGUGCCGCCGAGGAAUCUCGGGUUCACGGUACUCCGGACCCCGGCUGCCCGGCCCCAGUCCGACGGUACGAACAGAGGAGAUGGCCCGCUCUGCGCGAGCGUUCGGCCCGGCGGGCAAGCUCCGCGGGUAGUGUGCGGUGCGAUGCAGCUUCACGCAGCAUCCCCGCCUCCCGCGGGCUGUUGGCCUCCGGAGUCCUCGAACAGCUUUGGCCGUUCUCCCGUCCGCGGCGCUAUUGCUUCGGAUGCCUUCCCGACCCGUCUUGAAACACGGACCAAGGAGUCUAACAUGUGCGCGAGUCACUGGGAAUCACUAAAGCCAGAGGCGCAAUGAAAGUGGGGCGGCCUCGUGCCGCCAAGGGAGGAUGGCGACCCCUUCUCGGGGGAAGCCCGCACUCCCGGGGCGCCCCGGCCUCGGCCGUGGGCGCACUCGGAGCGUACACGUUGGGACCCGAAAGAUGGUGAACUAUGCCUGGUCAGGACGAAGUCAGGGGAAACCCUGAUGGAGGUCCGCAGCGAUUCUGACGUGCAAAUCGAUCGUCAGAGCUGGGUAUAGGGGCGAAAGAGUAUUCGGUUAAUCUAGUAGCUGGUUCCCUCCGAAGUUUCCCUCAGGAUAGCUGGCGCCCGCUUGGAACGGGACGAGUCUCAUCCGGUAAAGCGAAUGAUUAGAGGCCUUGGGGCCGAAACGACCUCAACCUAUUCUCAAACUUUAAAUGGGUGAGAACUCCGGCUUGCUCGAUUGAAGCCGCGAGGCGGAUCAGGGUGCCAAGUGGGCCAUUUUUGGUAAGCAGAACUGGCGCUGUGGGAUGAACCAAACGCCGGGUUAAGGCGCCUAAACCGGAGCUCAUGGGAGACCAUGAAAGGCGUUGGUUGCUUAAGACAGCAGGACGGUGGCCAUGGAAGUCGGAAGCCGCUAAGGAGUGUGUAACAACUCACCUGCCGAAGCAACUAGCCCUGAAAAUGGAUGGCGCUAAAGCUCCGUGCCUAUACCCGGCCGCCGGAAGGCAUUGGCGCGAGGCGCUCCCCCCCUGGGGGG